CCAAAUCAAGCCGAUGGAAUGGCUUAUAUGUCUUUUUAUCUUGCAAAUGCCGAAUAAUUAUUAUUUUACUAACAAACUCAUCAGCAUCGCAAUUUCCAAAAGCGUUAUUCUUCUUGCCAUCAUUCCGCGCAAAUGUAUUAUCAUCAAUCAAAGGAUGGCAAGUAACCACAUCAAAGUUCAGAUCACUUCUAAAGGACAAUUCAUCAACAAGGUUUCCAUCAACAAUCGAAUAAAAUAGAGGUGCUUUAAGAAUUUCAAAACUCAUACCUUGCUCCUCUUUUGGCAUAGGCGAACUAAGAUAGUUGAGAACGUUACCUUUUUCAACCAAGGUGAACCUUCUCUCCUUGGAAAGGUAUUGGAGUUGUAAAUUAUCGUCACUCGGCCUUGUGGAUACCUGAAAAACAGAAACAGAACAAGAACAAGUUUCAUAUGGAUUAGUUGAAAUGCUCCUCACUUUUUCUAGUUCAUUUGUCUCUUUUUCGCUCGUUUCUUUUUUAAUCUCAACUUCUUUUUUUCUCUUUUCAUUUCCUCUCUCGUUUUCAAUUUUAUUUUCGACCUCACUCUCUUUUUUGAUUUCUUUUUCUUUUUCAAUCUCUUUUUCUUUUCUUUUGAUUUCUUUUUCUCGCUCGCACUCUUGUACAAUCUCAAUUUCUUUUUCGAAUUCUUUCUCUUCAUUUUCUUUUUCUCUCACUUUUUUGAUUUCAUUACAAUGUGCAUUCGACACGAAAGAAUCAAAAAUAUAAUCAUUUGCCCCAAAGGAAGAGAAAAUAUUUUCAUAGGCUUCUCGUGCAUUUCUUCGGGAACAAUCCUCCGGGAAGGACUUCUUUGAGUCAUACGAUGAAUAACUCGUCCUCUCUC
rnacentral:lncRNA from 1 species